rnacentral:rRNA from 1 species
UACGUAGGGGGCAAGCGUUGUCCGGAAUUAUUGGGCGUAAAGAGCGUGUAGGCGGUCCGGUAAGUCAGCUGUGAAAGUCAAGGGCUCAACCCUAGAAUGCCGGUUGAUACUGUCGGGCUAGAGUCCGGAAGAGGCGAGUGGAAUUCCCGGUGUAGCGGUGAAAUGCGCAGAUAUCGGGAGGAACACCAAUGGCGAAGGCAGCUCGCUGGGACGGUACUGACGCUAAGACGCGAAAGCGUGGGGAGCAAACAGG